AUUGAACGCUAGCGGGAUGCCUUACACAUGCAAGUCGAACGGCAGCGCGGACUUCGGUCUGGCGGCGAGUGGCGAACGGGUGAGUAAUGUAUCGGAACGUGCCCAGUAGCGGGGGAUAACUACUUGAAAGAGUAGCUAAUACCGCAUACGCCAUACGGGGGAAAGGGGGGGAUCGCAAGACCUCUCACUAUUGGAGCGGCCGAUAUCGGAUUAGCUAGUUGGUGAGGUAAACGCUCACCAAGGCGACGAUCCGUAGCUGGUUUGAGAGGACGACCAGCCACACUGGGACUGAGACACGGCCCAGACUCCUACGGGAGGCAGCAGUGGGGAAUUUUGGACAAUGGGGGCAACCCUGAUCCAGCCAUUCCGCGUGUGCGAUGAAGGCCUUCGGGUUGUAAAGCACUUUUGGCAGGAAAGAAAUCGCACGGAUUAAUACUCUGUGUGGAUGACGGUACCUGCAGAAUAAGCACCGGCUAACUACGUGCCAGCCGCCGCGGUAA
rnacentral:rRNA from 1 species